UCCCGAGCGUUNUCCGGAUUUAUUGGGCGUAAAGCGAGCGCAGGCGGUUAGAUAAGUNUGAAGUUAAAGGCUGUGGCUUAACCAUAGUACGCUUUGGAAACUGUUUAACUUGAGUGCAGAAGGNGAGAGUGGAAUUCCAUGUGUAGCGGUGAAAUGCGUAGAUAUAUGGAGGAACACCGGUGGCGAAAGCGGCUCUCUGGUCUGUAACUGACGCUGAGGCUCGAAAGCGUGGGGAGCGAACAGGAUUAGAUACCCUGGUAGUCCACGCCGUAAACGAUGAGUGCUAGGUGUUAGGCCCUUUCCGGGGCUUAGUGCCGCAGCUAACGCAUUAAGCACUCCGCCUGGGGAGUACGACCGCAAGGUUGAAACUCAAAGGAAUUGACGGGGGCCCGCACAAGCGGUGGAGCAUGUGGUUUAAUUCGAAGCAACGCGAAGAACCUUACCAGGUCUUGACAUCCCGAUGCCCGCUCUAGAGAUAGAGUUUUACUUCGGUACAUCGGUGACAGGUGGUGCAUGGUUGUCGUCAGCUCGUGUCGUGAGAUGUUGGGUUAAGUCCCGCAACGAGCGCAACCCUUAUUGUUAGUUGCCAUCAUUCAGUUGGGCACUCUAGCGAGACUGCCGGUAAUAAACCGGAGGAAGGUGGGGAUGACGUCAAAUCAUCAUGCCCCUUAUGACCUGGGCUACACACGUGCUACAAUGGCUGGUACAACGAGUCGCAAGUCGGUGACGGCAAGCUAAUCUCUUAAAGCCAGUCUCAGUUCGGAUUGUAGGCUGCAACUCGCCUACAUGAAGUCGGAAUCGCUAGUAAUCGCGGAUCAGCACGCCGCGGUGAAUACGUUCCCGGGCCUUGUACACACCGCCCGUCACACCACGAGAGUUUGUAACACCCGAAGUCGGUGAGGUAACCUUUUAGGAGCCA
rnacentral:rRNA from 1 species